rnacentral:ncRNA from 1 species
GUAGAUAGAGGUCGCAUUUUUCAUCAGUAAACAGUCGGAUGUUUCAGGAACAGAAGAAGACUUUUGAAAGGGGAAGAUGCCGAAAGAAUGCAGGAGCCUGACACUGUGUUUUUGGGCAUGGCAUGAACAAUGACAUGACUGUCAUCGCAGGAUGGAGUGCUAUCUGA